UUCGUGAUGUUAAAAAAGGAUCCUUAGCAAAUGUUGAACCACAGGACUGUGAGGCCGGGACAGACAAGCCUAAAAUUAUGUGCCUCUUACUGGCUGAAUUACCACUAAAGGAGCAAAGUCACAACAGGUCGUAUUUGAAAAUGCUCAAUUUAUUUUCUGCAGCAAAGAGUUAUUGUGCUUAUCUAAGUGAUCCAGUUUACAACAUGGCUUUUGAAACAUCUGCAUUGGUACCACUGGGGGAGUGGUAAGAAUGGCUGGUGGGAGAAUAGAUAACAUCUUUAACCAGUUUUGCUGAUGAAGAGAGCAUUAUGGAAUUACACUCUGACAUAUGAAAAUGAGCCAGUGAAGCUGUACCUUUUUGAUAGCCAUCCCAGAAGUUGGGAAGUCAUACUAAGAAUAUCAUCACUCCAUAAGAAAAGGAUCAACACAAAAAGCCUCUGCACUGCGUAUUUGGUAAGCAUAAAUCUAAAAGUAUUUUCAAAAUAAUCAAGCUACAGAAAGCAGACAUUUCAAAUUUUACUUGCCUCAGCUACAACAAAUCUACAAAUAUGCACAUUAAGGAAAUAUUUGGAGUUUUCAAAAGAAAUGGAAUACUUCUUGAUAAGGGAAAUGAUGGAGUAAAACUGCAGAAAUCUUUGUUCUG
rnacentral:lncRNA from 1 species